UCAUGUGACCAGCCCUGCCAAGCAGGAGGACCUCAUGAUCUCAGCCCUCUAGUGCAGGGGUGGAGGGGUGAGGCUCCAAAAGCCAAUCCCAUGAGCUGAAUGCUGGGAUAACACUUGGAGGAGCUGGUCAUUGGGCAGUUCGGAAGUGUGGAGACGCCUGAGAAUGUUCCCUCUGGGGUGCCAUGCUGACGCCAGGGGGAUGGAUUCCGUAUGUUGGGUCGUAUGCUUAAGUUUGGGAGAAGAGGCACUGCCUUUGAAAGCCUGCUGCGCUAAGAGAGUCUCGUCAGUGGAGUUACAUGUUUGGUUUCCCUACCUCAGCCAACUAGAUUAAAUCAGGGGGCAGAUUCCCAGCCUCAGGCCAUCUGCUGAGGCACAGGGCUCAGAUUUCCUGCUCCGGGGAGUCUGCUGGAGUCAGAGGGUGGAUUCCCUGAGGUUAGAGGACUGGGUAAAGAGAAGUGAGGGUCAAAUCACCUCCUCCUUGUCAUUUAAGUGGUGUCAGUAGCGAUCAGAUUGCAACUUUGGGCCCAAUUGCACUAACACGUCAUGUCUGACCCAAGCACCAAUUCGUCACCCUUUCAUGGUGUUUGUUUUAUAGGACACUCUCUCCCGUUUUAAAGCCAUUGAAGCUGUAUUCCCGGGGAAUGCAGCCACCCUCUCCCGACCAGGCACAGCGAGAAUCAGGCUGGCACUGUGUGUUUUCGCUCCCCUGAUUACCUCUGAGUUCAGUGACUACCAGGCUUCUUCUGAGAAGAAAGGAAAUCCAUGUACUAGAGAGCCGAAGGCCACUGCUGCAUCCAACCUCCACCAGAGAGGUGGGGAAGGUCUCUUGGGUCUCACCUUCAUCACUUCACAGCUCCCUGGACCACUCAGAACUGGUGAUGUUCCCACCACAGACUGACUGGAUUUUCAUCUCAGUACCACAUGGUUUAAACUAGCUUUUAGUAUUUAAGACUUGCCAGUUCCCAGGAUUAUCCACCAGUUCCCUGUGGUGCCUGGGAGCCUCCUUGGGCUUGUUCCUGGUCCUCAGUCCACCUUCCUCGCAGGCCAACACCGGUCUUUGCCGUCGGAGUUCAGGGAAAAGAUGAACUUUUACUGAGUGUUGAAAUCUCAUGUAUGUUUACAGAGCUGCUAAGCUUUUCAGAAGGUGGUGAUCAAAAGAUUUAAGUCAUCAUAAGCAAAACUGUCCCUCGUUUUGGCUCUGUUCUGCAAGAUUUCACGAUGAAAGGAACUUACCGUGUUAAAGCUGCCCAUUGUAUUUAUGGAGUAACUAACUGCACUUCGACUGUGACUCUAGACCAGUGAUCUUCCAAAGCCAGACUCUGACAUGCAUGGGGACUGCUCCUCAGUCCCUGUGUUUGAAUCCCCUGCUGACAUGGCCAGGCCUAGUUUUGCUUUUUCCUUACACAGGCGGCCUCCGUCCAGUCAUUAUGUCCAUGAAGCCACUAGUUUGAAUAUUUAGCAAAAAUAAAUAUAGUGUAGUGCAGGCAAAAGCCUGCAUCAGUAGUAAUUGGAGCUCCACUUCUCUGCUGUUCAUCACAGUCCCAGUGAAGUUCUGAUGUUCCAAAGUACAUGGGCAGUACCAGAGGGGCAAUUCUACCCCCACGUAGCAGGUAUGUUACAUUCGAACCGGUUCUUGGCAGUUGCCUGCAUGGUCUGACUCAUCUUCUUGCUCACUUUGGGGGCAGUGCACAUACAAAGCGAUUGCAUCUCAGGCGUGGUCGAUGGAUCUCCCGUGCACUCUAUCACAUCUCAAUGCCCAUAUCGUGUCUGAGGUGCCUGCUGGUGGCCACAGUCUUGUGGAGAAGUAACCUCACCUGCAACCACAGCAAGGACGCAGAGGCCUCUGCUCCAAGCUCCCCUGCCAAGUUGCCUCAGGCAGAGGUAGAGGUCACUUCAAAGCAAAAGCCUCCCGCUCCCAUUCCAAUGACAGACUCCUGAUACAUCCAGUGAAUGGUUCAUAGGAGCUGAGAGUCACCUUGCCGUCCAUGCGGCCACAGGGGUGGCCAUCAGGAGAAGGGACAUUGCUGCCCUUUAAGACUCUUUCAGUUCGUGGGGCCUUUUGCUGGAAAACCCUGUGAUGCUAUCUGCCCGCCUGGCCUCCCAAGAAUGCUGCUGUGCAUGUGCAGCUGGCAAGAAAAGAGGAGCCCCGAUGAAGAUCUCUCUGCCCUAGUCUGCUCACUUUCCCUCUUGCAUGCCCCUUGGGAUGGACUCAGUGGAACAGAACACCCAACUUUGGUCCAGUGGGGCCUUUGGGCCCUGCGCUUAGGAGGGGCUUUGCCAAAUGGUGGUUGCUGUGGAAAAAGGUUUGUGUACAGGAGAUCACGCUCCUUUCCCGUUCCACAUUCGCCUCCCCUGCAACAGACAUCAGGACCCCUCUGUGUAGGAAAGACAACUGCCUGCUUCUUUCACUCUUUUCCAUACCUUGUGCUGGGGCAAAUUGGACUAGGGUAAUUUCUAGCAAACUCCUUCACCCCGCCUGCCUGUUUACAGUUUAGAGUCUUUGCAUUACUGGGGAGAAGGCAACUCCCUCGACCCAGCCCUGAGCUGCUCCAACUCCCUCUCCUGGGGCUUCGAGAGCCUUCAUAUGCAAUCACUGGGGAAGCAGCAAAGGAACCCAUGUUCUCUCACUCAUGCAAGAGGUCGCUGCCCCUCCCGGGAAUGCUGCCUGCUAGAUCCCUGCUCCACAUUGCCCCGGCAUGAAGGCUAUAAAGAAACUCAAGCACUCUUCAUGUGCCAUUCUCAUGUGACUUUUUUGUACCUAUGUAUGAAAGAUCUAAACUAAUAUUGCUGUAAAGAUACAAAUUAAUAUAGCAUAUUAUAUAAAGAUAUAUGUAUAUAAAGG